UAUUGGUCAAUAGCCUAACGGCUGAACCAGCAACUUGGAGGAAUGUAUAGGGAAAACUGGUAAAAUGUGAUGUACCUAGUAAUAUUUGUAAAAAAUAUGAGAUUAACUAAGUUAAUUAAAAUUCUAAGUAGAUGUUUGAUUAUGACAAUAUCUAUAUAGGUCUUGACCAAGUCACGUGCCAGCAGUCGCGGUAAUACGUGGAAGACGAGUGUUAUUCAUCUUUAUUGGGUUUAAAGGGUACCUAGACAGUUAAUUAAGCAAUUAUAUGUACUAAUUAGCUAGAGUUUAAUGUAAGAAGGAUUGAGUACGGUGAGAGUAGAGAUAAAAUUCUUUGAUACCACUUAGGAAC
rnacentral:rRNA from 1 species